rnacentral:rRNA from 1 species
GACGAACGCUGGCGGCGUGCUUAACACAUGCAAGUCGAACGGAAAGGCCCUGCUUUUGUGGGGUGCUCGAGUGGCGAACGGGUGAGUAACAUGUGAGUAACCUGCCCUUGACUUUGGGAUAACUUCAGGAAACUGGGGCUAAUACCGGAUAGGAGCUCCUGCUGCAUGGUGGGGGUUGGAAAGUUUCGGCGGUUGGGGAUGGACUCGCGGCUUAUCAGCUUGUUGGUGGGGUAGUGGCUUACCAAGGCUUUGACGGGUAGCCGGCCUGAGAGGGUGACCGGCAACAUUGGGACUGAGAUACGGCCCAGAAUCCUACGGGAGGCAGCAGUGGGGAAUAUUGCACAAUGGGCGGAAGCCUGAUGCAGAAACGCCGCGUGCGGGAUGACGGCCUUCGGGUUGUAAACCGCUUUAGCAUGUGACGAAGCGUGAGUGACGGUAAUGGGUAAAGAAGCACCGGCUAACUACGUG